GGGAUAUGCCACUGCAGCUGACAUUGAGAGUUCACUCUCUAUACCUGCAACUCCUCGUCUGAUACUUCUUGGAGAAACGAGAAGACGCUUCCAGCGCUGGAUGCUCAGCCUUGAGGGCCAAAUUUGCGAAGGGAUCCAGUCCACCUUUGUGACAUGGCUGGCGUCUUUUUUUCCUGUUUUCACACUUGAAUUCAUCCAGAGAGACUUUGUGGGUAUAAACCCCAAAAAAGGGACAAAUGCUGCAAAGGGGGAAAAAAGAAGAACUGUCAAUUCACAUGUCGCCAGCCUCUUGAGCAAGCUCAUGGACUUUCAGUGGGAUUUCAUUUGAAAAUGACCCAAGACUUCGCAAAGGAUCCUCAUUGUGUGCUUUGAGAAAAUGGUUAGUGGUCUAAGCAGUGACACUGUUU